GUGGAUACCGGAGUUUUACCAUUAGGCUGAAUGGAGACAAACUGAAAGUCAACCAAACUAUGAAUCUGUCACACUGGACAUUUCUUGACCACUGAGAACAGUGUGGAAAUGCCCCACAGCCAAGGUAUGGGUAGGUGUUCAGUACUUUUUAAUACAUUGCAUAUACUUGGCAAAGUCCUGUAAGGAAAUACUACUGUGAGCGUGAUCUUGUGAGCGUGAAAAUGCUCAAAAAUGAGAAAAUACGGGCAUUUUGAGAAGGUGGACAGUGGAGCAGGCAUUACAGACCUGCAGAGAAUCUGAAGCACUGAUACGAUGGUGCCUGAGAAAGAGGACAAACAUCUCUGGUGCAAAGAUGCAGACUGGAGCAUUCACUGGUGUAUGAAGAACAGGGAGAUGCAGGCUGAAAGUUACCACUGACUUUGCUGUUUCAAAUGGAUCUGUUCAAGGAUGUCCAACAGAACAGCAUGGUGAGUGACGGACAGUAAAGCAAUUUGCAACUGAUGGCCCUUCAGAGAGCGAGGAGUAAGCGCCACGGAAGCUUGUGCUUGCUCCCAGCCCCUCUAGGAAGUGAAUGAAGAACUGCGUGGAUUUUGUUUUAAAUGGAACUGAAUGAUAAUCCUAGGAGAUUUAAGAGCUGAGAUCAUAUAGUGGAUACAUAUUUCACACCUGGGGAUAGAGACAUGCCUGAGAUGAGCCAGGAAAUGUAUCUACAGGCCAGGCAAGAACACCCAGUUGCAGUCAUACACGGAACAGUGCAAGCUGUGCAAAGAAUAUAGUGAUUGACAAGAAAUGCCUCAUGAAAUCCCAGUCCAGCUCUGGGAAAAGGUCAGAACAGAGUGGUUCAUUUCUAAUGAAAGAAACUUUAUGGCCACAGUAGAUUACUAACCCAGUUUCUGGAAGAUGCACAGGCAAGAACAGUGAUCAGAAAACUGAAGGCACAGGCUUUGAGUUACAACAUGCCUCACUCACUGGGACCAAGUGAGAGGGUCCUCAUACCCCUCAUUUAGGAAUUCGAAUAUUUUAGGGCAAUUAAAAACUCAAGCCCAAGAUUUAUGUCCCUGAAAAUACAGAGCAGAAUAAGCAGAUGGCAUUGGUAUUAAAGGCAGCUGAAAAAACUGUGAUAGUGUUAGACAGAUAAGAAGGGGAGCUGGACUGGUUAUUUUGAACCUCAUAAAUGCUAAAUACUCCUAUGGUUUAGACAGUGACAUGCACUUGGAUACAGGUCUUGGAGUCUAGGACAGCAUGUCUGCUGAAGUCUGGAGCAAAUAUUAUUGAUAUUUUUUUUCUUUACAGGUACUAGGAAACUAAGCAAGCACCGACAGCCCGAGCCCCAGAGGCUACUGUAGAUACCAUAAUAACCCUAAAGUUAUAAGGAGAGGUAACAGCACAAAAGAAGUCAUUGGGUGCAGGACAUGAGACAAGUACAACAAGCAGGAACAGUGAAACUUAAGGCACUGUGCAGCGACUGGAAUCAAAUGUAGCAGCAGGCAAUUAUAGUCUGUUAGACUAAUGUGGCCAAGACAAGAAGGAUGUGAAGUGUGUGAUCAACACAGAGGAUCAACACAACUGAUCCUCUCAAGGGCCUUCAAUAAUAAAGGAAAACGGGGAAGCUAAAUAGUAUGGGGAGGACUUGUUUGCUUUGUCACUGCUAUCCCGAGUUGUUUUUGCUAGUGCAGUGUAGCCUGCCUGGCAUCUGUUUGCCACCUUGGUGGAGUGUCAGUCUGCCUUAGGUCCUGCGUCAUACCAGCUAUUUCCAUGCAGAUGUCUUGGAUACCUUAGGGCCUCUCAAAUGGCACUGGGUAUUGAGCGUGGGCAGAGGAAUCCUGUCCUUUGCUGUGUGGAAAAACAUUGCUCUUGGAGGGCCACAACAGUAUGGUAAUGGCUGCAGCCAAGUGUGGCAGCAGUGACCAAGCUAGAGCAAUACUGAAAUAGGUAAGUCUGUGUAACAAUUAUCUUCAGCUCUGGCUUUUUAAGGCCAGCUGUGGGCCCAGCCCUGCAGCUUCCUGCUUUGGCCAAGAAUGAAUCACUUGUGGGGAGCUGUAAUUCCCAGAGCAGAUGGGAGCUGUCAGGUUCACAGUCAGAGAUGAUGGAAAGGGAUACAACGUGUAACAGCUCCCUCUGGGCAGGAGAGAUUGGGGGGAGACAGGUGGGUCUCUCCAGCCCAGGAGAGGGUAUCACAGAUAAAAAUGCUUUAGGAAGAUGCUUUAACAGGCAAUCAGGUGUCUAUGUAAAAUACCCAGAGGAGAAAGCAAUUAAAAGAACUGUAGUUGAUUCAAAAAAAAAAAAAAAAAAAAAAUAGACUUGAAGAAGACUGAGUCUGAGAAUGAACUUAAUCACCAAGGUGCCCUUGAAGUUUAUCAGACCACCUAGAGGUGCAAUAUCCUAGGCAAGCAAGAAGUUCUGAGAAAUACCCUUCAUCUAAUCUUUUUAUUAUUAUUAUUUUUCCCUACAUUAGAAAGAUUGAAGUGUUUUGGCUUGGUUGGAAAACUGAACUAGUUUGCCAGAGGGAAAGCGGAGGAAACUAGAACAUUUUCCCAAAGAGAAGAACCUGUACAUGCUUCAUGAACCAAAGACUUCCAUUGUGCCAGGUAGCUGUGAGAGGAGUUGCUGCAUGACAGAGAAUGUGAACGAUGCUAUGAAACUGCAACAGCAGCAAUAAUACAUGAGCUGUCUUUGAGCUCAUGUAACUUCAUGGAGAGGAUUGCUCGCGCUGUAGGAGGUGAGCACCAGGCUGCCUUCUUGCCUCACCUCCGAGUGCCCCUUUCCAGUAGGCAAGCACCUGUGGAGGCCAACGCCAGCUGCAAGUGCCUGGGCAGCAAGCAGUGAGAAUCAUUAUGAAUUUGGCCAGCUCCAUCAGGAAAGGCAUCAAAUAGAUCUUGUCUGGUUUAACUCCCUGAACUCCCUGAGGCAGUGUUUCCUCAGCAAAACUACAAUUGAUGUUGCUGCUGAAUAAGGACUUUGGGAUUGCGUCAUAGGAUAAACUCCAAAUAGCCCUCCAGCGAUUUCCUGAGGACGACUGCUGCAUUGAGAGAGGACUUUGACCCAGUAGGGAAGAGGGUCA
ensembl:lncRNA